AGAGUACUCCCUCUGUCCCAUAUUAAUUGUCGCUGAAACGGAUGUAUCUUGACGUAUUUCAGUGCUGGAUACAUCUGUUUGAGCGACAAUUAAUGUGGGAUGGAGGGAGUAGCAU
rnacentral:pre_miRNA from 1 species